AUCCUUCGGUUCUUGAGCGUGAUGAUUGGGCGCAUGCCUUAUGCAUGAGAUGUGCCUCCCUCAGACCUUGUUACGAUGUGGGCACAUUACCCAUCUGAUG